UUAUUAUAAUAAUUAUUAAAAUUGAAAUUUAUAAUUUUUUAGAAAAUUUUAGAGAUCGUUGAGAUCCGUGUUGUAAUUUUAGCUUUUUAAUAGAUCUACAUGUAAGUUAUAGCGAAAAUUUUAGAAAUGAAUAAAAUUUUUAAAAGUAAAUCUCAGUAGAAAAUUUUAGAGAUAUAAUAAUUUUUUAUCUAGGUAAUUAUGAAGAAGUGGAAAAUGGCGUGCCAGCAGCCGCGGUUAUACUCCUGCUUCAAGUUAAAAUUUUUAUACAAAAUUUUGUUUUAUUUUUGAGAGGAAGUUUUAUAAAAUUAUUAGGUAGAAUUUUAAUUUUAUAGAAUGACAAUAAUAAUUUAAACUAACAAACUAUAGUAGGGACCAGGAUUAGAUACCCUGUUACUUUUAAGGAAAAAAUUUUGGAUUAAUAAUAAUAAUGAAAUUUAACGGAUUUGGCGGCAAGAUAGCCAUUUAGAGGAACCUGCCCUAUAAACGAUGAGCCACGAGUUACCCUACUUUUUUUAGAAAUCAGUUUGUAUACCGCUGUUGUCAGUUAGUUUCUUUAGAAAACUUUCGUUCAUGAUAAAAUCAUAGACUUCAAGUAAAGGUGCAGCUUAUAAAAAAGAUAGAGGUGGGUUACAUUUAAAAGAAUAAAACGGAUAAAAUUAUGAAAUAAUUUUUUGAAGGUGGAUUUAAUUGUAAAGUUUAAAAAAGCUUGAUGAGAGCUCUAUCUUGUGUACACACCGCCCGUCGCUCUCUUUUUUAAACGAGAUAAGUCGUAACAAGGUAAGUGUAAUGGAAAUUGUACUUG
rnacentral:ncRNA from 1 species